UACGUAGGGGGCAAGCGUUGUCCGGAUUUAUUGGGCGUAAAGAGCGUGUAGGCGGCUAGGUAGGUCCGUUGUGAAAACUCGAGGCUCAACCUCGAGACGCCGAUGGAAACCAUCUAGCUAGAGUCCGGAAGAGGAGAGUGGAAUUCCUGGUGUAGCGGUGAAAUGCGUAGAUAUCGGGAGGAACACCAGUGGCGAAGGCGACUACCUGGCCUGUUCUUGACGCUGAGGCGCGAAAGCUAGGGUAGCAAACGGG
rnacentral:rRNA from 1 species